rnacentral:rRNA from 1 species
UAACAUCCGGAAACGGGUGCUAAUACCGCAUAGUUUUCUUGAUCGCAUGAGUCGGGAAAGGAAAGACGGCCUUUGUGCUGUCGCUUAUGGAUGGACCCGCGGCGUAUUAGUUAGUUGGUGAGGGUAACGGCUCACCAAGACGAUGAUACGUAGCCGACCUGAGAGGGUGAUCGGCCACAUUGGGACUGAGACACGGCCCAAACUCCUACGGGAGGCAGCAGUAGGGAAUCGUUCCGCAAUGGACGAAAGUCUGACGGAGCAACGCCGCGUGAGUGAAGAAGGUUUUUCCGGAUCGUAAAACUCUGUUGUCAGUAGAAGAACAAGUUGGAGAGUAACUGCUCCAGCCUUGACGGUAUCUGACCAGAAAGCCACGGCUAACUACGUGCCAGCAGCCGC